UACGAAGGGGGCUAGCGUUGCUCGGAAUCACUGGGCGUAAAGCGCACGUAGGCGGGCCGUUAAGUCGGGGGUGAAAUCCUGGAGCUCAACUCCAGAACUGCCUUCGAUACUGGCGAUCUUGAGUCUGGGAGAGGUGAGUGGAACUCCGAGUGUAGAGGUGAAAUUCGUAGAUAUUCGGAAGAACACCAGUGGCGAAGGCGGCUCACUGGCCCGGUACUGACGCUGAGGCACGAAAGCUCGGGGAGCAAACGGG
rnacentral:rRNA from 1 species